CCGUUCCGACCUUGUCGGAACGGAUCGUAGAUUGGUGACUGUCACCGUAAGGUGUUGUGAAACAGCAGAUUAUAAUCAAGUACCCACCAUCAUCCAGAAAAAGUCAGUCAACUUGAGUUAGAUACUAGAUUUUUGGUCGCAGAUUCCACAUGAAACCCGUGGUAUCUUUUAUCUAGUAUCCGGUGAGUGGACCAAUGUCUAAAAUCCAAUGUCCAGGCGAGUGGUAGAGGAGCGUCCUGCAUGGCUAGAAGCCGUACCGCAAGGAGCGGUGGACCGUGCAGGAGUGAUUAUCCCGGCACAAGUAACGAUAAAACAGGUGAGAAUCCUGUUCGCCGAAAGCCUAAGGUUUCCUGGGGAAGGCAAGUCCGCCCAGGGUUAGUCGGCCCCUUACCCGAGGUCGAAAGACGUAGGGGAUGGACAGCAGGUCAACAUUCCUGCACCACCAUUGUCAGCGAUGGGGGGACGCGGCUUUGAAGGUCAGCGAGCUGAUAGUGCCUCGUGAGGGCCCGAGGGGCGCUGUAGGUAAAUCCGCAGCAACAAGCCCCGGAGGCUGGACGUGAUCCGCCUACGGGCGGAAGAAGUGAUUGGAUAAGUCGCCCAGAAAAGCCUCUAAGCAUAUGUCAAUGGUGACCGUACUAAAACCGACACAGGUAGGCAGGGUGAGUAUCCCAAGGCGCGCGAGAGAACCGUCGGGAAGGAACUCGGCAAAUUGACCCCGUAAGUUCGCGAUAAGGGGUGCCGCUGGUCGUGAUCCACCUUGCGUGGUGAGCGAACGGCGGCCGCAGAGAAAUGGGUCUGGCAACUGUUUACCAAAAACACAGGUCUCUGCCAACACCAUAAGGUGGAUGUAUAGAGACUGACGCCUGCCCGAUGCCGGAAGGUCAAGGGGAAGGGUUAGUUCUCCCGAUUCUCGGGAGAGCGAAGCUCAUAACCGAAGCCCCGGUGAAUGGCGGCCGUAACUAUAACGGCCCUAAGGUAGCGAAGUUCCUUGUCGGGUAAGUUCCGACCUGCAUGAAUGGCGUAAUGACUGGACCACUGUCUCCCCGACGGACUCGGCGAACCUGUAGCCGCGGUGAAGAUGCCGCGUACCCGCACCAAGACGGAAAGACCCCGUGAAGCUUUACUGCAGGCUAAUAUUGGGUUUUAGCCUGGCAUGCGUAGCAUAGGUGGGAGGCGUUGAAGCCUUGCUUUUGGGCGAGGCGGAGCCAACAGUGAAAUACCACUCUUGCCAUGUUGACAUCCUAACUGCGUGCCGUUAUCCGGUCGCAGGACAGUGUUAGUCGGGCAGUUUGACUGGGGCGGUCUCCUCCCAAAGAGUAACGGAGGAGUGCAAAGGCACCCUCAGCACGGUUGGCAAUCGUGCGUAGAGCGCAAAGGUACAAGGGUGCUUGACUGCGAGGCCCAUAAGCCGAGCAGAUGUGAAAGCAGGCCUUAGUGACCCAACGGUCCCGUGUGGAAGGGCCGCUGAUCAACAGAUAAAAGCUACUCCGGGGAUAACAGGCUUAUCUCCCCUAAGAGUCCACAUCGCCGGGGAGGUUUGGCACCUCGAUGUCGGCUCAUCGCAUCCUGGGGGUGAAGGCGCUCCCAAGGGUUCGGCUGUCCGCCGAUUAAAGCGGUACGUGAGCUGGGUUCAGACCGUCGUGAGACAGGUCGGUCCCUAUCUGGUGUGGGUGUAGGAUACCUGAGGAGAGCUCUCCCUAGUACGAGAGGACUGGGAGGGACGGACCCCUGGUGUUCCGGUUAUCCUGCUAAGGGUACAGCCGGGUAGCUAAGUCCGGAUGAGAUAAGCGCUGAAAGCAUAUAAGCGCGAAGCCAACUCCAAAACUAGGUAUCCCCAUGAGCCUCCUGGCAGACCACCAGGUUGAUAGGCCGGGUGUGUAAGUGCAGCAAUGCACUCAGCUAACCGGUACUAAUCAGGCCAUCGGCUUGACC
rnacentral:rRNA from 1 species